GAUGAACGCUGGCGGCGUGCUUAACACAUGCAAGUCGAACGGAGCGCUUUUGAUAGAGACUUCGGUCAAUGGAUAAAGUUGCUUAGUGGCGGACUGGUGAGUAACGCGUGAGGAACCUGCCUUUCAGAGGGGGACAACAGUUGGAAACGACUGCUAAUACCGCAUGACACAUUUGGGCGGCAUCGCCCGGAUGUCAAAGAUUUUAUCGCUGAAAGAUGGCCUCGCGUCUGAUUAGAUAGUUGGCGGGGUAACGGCCCACCAAGUCGACGAUCAGUAGCCGGACUGAGAGGUUGACCGGCCACAUUGGGACUGAGAUACGGCCCAGACUCCUACGGGAGGCAGCAGUGGGGAAUAUUGCACAAUGGGGGAAACCCUGAUGCAGCAACGCCGCGUGAGUGAUGACGGUCUUCGGAUUGUAAAGCUCUGUCUUUAGGGACGAUAAUGACGGUACCUAAGGAGGAAGCCACGGCUAACUACGUGCCAGCAGCCG
rnacentral:rRNA from 1 species